rnacentral:rRNA from 1 species
CAGUCGCCACGGUAAAACGUAGGGUGCAAGCGUUAAUCGGAAUUACUGGGCGUAAAGCGUGCGCAGGCGGUUAUAUAAGACAGAUGUGAAAUCCCCGGGCUCAACCUGGGAACUGCAUUUGUGACUGUAUAGCUAGAGUACGGCAGAGGGGGAUGGAAUUCCGCGUGUAGCAGUGAAAUGCGUAGAUAUGCGGAGGAACACCGAUGGCGAAGGCAAUCCCCUGGGCCUGUACUGACGCUCAUGCACGAAAGCGUGGGGAGCAAACAGGAUUAGAUACCCCUGUAGUCCCUGUCUCUUAUAC